rnacentral:miRNA from 1 species
UGCUGUUAUCAGUGAUAAUGGUGGUGGUGUGGUGGUGAUAUCAGAGCAGAUUCUGGCCCACUGUAUCAUCAUCAUCAUCAUCACCAUCACCAUCAUCA